rnacentral:rRNA from 1 species
AAACUACGCCUACAUGAAGCUGGAAUUGCUAGUAAUCACAGGUCAGCAUACUGUGGUGAAUACGUUCCCGGGCCCUGUACACACCGCCCGUCACACCAUGAGAGUUGAGAAUACCCGAAGCCCAUGUCAAAGUGGUCGAAGGUAGGCUUGAUGAUUGGGGUGAAGUCGUAACAAGGUACC